AAAAAUAUGAUAAGAACAGGAAAGCCUUUUGUUUUCACUGUUUUUUUAGAUUCCCCCCUUUUUGUAAAAACAUGUCCUCAUGGUUUUAUUUGAGGUUUGACCUGCCCGGUGAUUUCAUUUAACGGCCGCGGUAUUUUGACCGUGCAAAGGUAGCAUAAUCAUUAGUCUUUUAAUAGGAGGCUGGAAUGAAAGGUUUAACGAAAAAUUAGCUGUCUCAGUUAUAGUUUUGAAUUUAACUUUUGAGUCAAAAGGCUUAAAUUUUGUUGGAGGACGAGAAGACCCUAUAGAGCUUUACAUUUUGUUUAGGAUGAUUUUAUUUAGAUGGAUAAUUUAUUUUUAUCUUAAUGGGUGUUUUGUUGGGGUGACAAGAAAUAUAUGAUUAACUUUUAUUAUUUUUUAUUCAUUAAUUUAUGUUUAUUGGAUCCAAAAUUUUUGAUCAUUAGAUUAAGUUACCUUAGGGAUAACAGCGUAAUCUUCCUUCAGAGUUCAAAUUUACAGGAAGGCUUGCGACCUCGAUGUUGGAUUAAGAUAAUAAUUAGGUGCAGCAGCUUAAUUAAUAGGUCUGUUCGACCCUUAAAUUCUACAUAUCAUACCCCAA
rnacentral:rRNA from 1 species